GCCUCUUGUCUCAUUGUUCUCUGUAGGUUCUGGAACAUUACAGACGCACCGAGGAGGAGAUGUACACUGUCAUUUUUUUCUUUUACGUGAAUUCUUUCGGAAAACACUUUAAAGCUGGUAUAUUGUGCUAGUGGGUGUGGUUAAUAUUCCAUCCGGACGAGCCUGAACACAAGCCUCCGCAGAUCAGGGCUCUCAGCCCUGCCUUUCGUUUUCAUGUGAGGAAAUGAGGGGUUCCUAGACUGUAAUGAGAGUUGAGAAACUGAGCGAAGUAUAAGCCAGCAUGCAUGUGAGUGUGCACAGUCAUUUGCCUCUGCUCUCGACACUGUGAUGUGGCCAGCUGUUGGAAGAUCCUGCCCUGACUUCUGUACAAAGAUCGACUAUAAACUGGAAUUGGGAGCUGAAAUAAACCCUCCACCUCUACAUUGCUUUUUGUCUGGGUAUUUCAUCGCAGCGACAAAAAAAAAAAAAUUAAAAAGAAGGUAAGUGAGUGCUCCUGAGGAGUUCGUUCUUACCUGCUGGAGGCAGAGGUGCCUUGAGAGCAUCGGUCUGAAGACUCUGCCUGGGCACC
rnacentral:lncRNA from 1 species